ACGUACACUCCUGCGGGAGGCAGCAGUGGGGAAUAUUGGACAAUGGGGGCAACCCUGAUCCAGCCAUGCCGCGUGAGUGAUGAAGGCCCUAGGGUUGUAAAGCUCUUUUGUGCGGGAAGAUAAUGACGGUACCGCAAGAAUAAGCCCCGGCUAACUUCGUGCCAGCAGCCGCGGUAAUACGAAGGGGGCUAGCGUUGCUCGGAAUCACUGGGCGUAAAGGGUGCGUAGGCGGGUCUUUAAGUCAGGGGUGAAAUCCUGGAGCUCAACUCCAGAACUGCCUUUGAUACUGAGGAUCUUGAGUCCGGAAGAGGUGAGUGGAACUGCGAGUGUAGAGGUGAAAUUCGUAGAUAUUCGCAAGAACACCAGUGGCGAAGGCGGCUCACUGGUCCGGUACUGACGCUGAGGCACGAAAGCGUGGGGAGCAAACAGGAUUAGAUACCCGAGUAGUCCCAUG
rnacentral:rRNA from 1 species